GUAUCAUUUUCUUCAGUGAUACAGCCCCUGGUAUGUUACUCUUGCUCCAGUAAGUAACCUCCUACCCAAUCUUGUGCAAGAAACCUAAUUAAACUCAGUGGGUCUCACACAAGAAGGAAGGCAUGAAGGCUCCCCCUCUGGAACACCCUAAGCAGAAAGAAACUCCUUUGCUGCCCUGGUGUUUAUAGUAGCAACAGAAAAGUGGCUUAUGUAAGUUUCCAGAGAACAUACGAGGAACUGAUCCAACAGGACCUUGGAAGGCCUGGUGCUGUUUCUCUCAAUGGCAGCUGACUUGGCAGAAGGUACACGGGAAUUUACUUCUCUGUUCCAAGCGUCGACACCACCUGUGACAUUCCUAAGAUUUCUUUUUGUAAAAAUUAAAUCUCCUGCUCUGGCUUGGAACAUUUCUACUCGUAAUGGCUACAUAUGGACACUGAGGUGAGUAGUGUUCCAUUGUAUAUAUGUGCAUCGAUUCAUCCAUGGAAGAACAUUCAGGUUUGCCUCUCCCAGGCAGGAACCCCCUUAUUGGUUAUCCAAUACAAGUCAUCAGCCUUGAUACCAUUUACAAAACAAACUCGGCAGACUGUAUUAAUCUAUUUAUGUAUGUAUGUAUGUAUAUCAAAGAGAAAAGCUAUCAACUUGAGGGCGGUGCCAUGGGAGGGGUUGGAGGGAGCAAAGGAGGGGGAAAACCGGUGUGAUUCUGUUUCAAUUAAAAUAUAUUUUUUAAAAACUUAAAAAACAAAACGCAUAAGGAGCUGUUUCCUUAGUACAAACCCACAGAGCAGUGCACUGGGUGGGAAGACUCUUGGUGCUU
rnacentral:lncRNA from 1 species